GACGAACGCUGGCGGCGUGCCUAAUACAUGCAAGUUGAGCGAUGAAGAUUGGUGCUUGCACCAAUUUGAAGAGCAGCGAACGGGUGAGUAACGCGUGGGGAAUCUGCCUUUGAGCGGGGGACAACAUUUGGAAACGAAUGCUAAUACCGCAUAACAACUUUAAACAUAAGUUUUAAGUUUGAAAGAUGCAAUUGCAUCACUCAAAGAUGAUCCCGCGUUGUAUUAGCUAGUUGGUGAGGUAAAGGCUCACCAAGGCGAUGAUACAUAGCCGACCUGAGAGGGUGAUAGGCCACAUUGGGACUGAGACACGGCCCAAACUCCUACGGGAGGCAGCAGUAGGGAAUCUUAGGCAAUGGACGAAAGUCUGGCCGAGCAACGCCGCGUGAGUGAAGAAGGGUUUCGGAUCGUAAAACUCUGUUGGUAGAGAAGAACGUUGGUGAGAGUGGAAAGCUCAUCAAGUGACGGUAACUACCCAGAAAGGGACGGCUAACUACGUG
rnacentral:rRNA from 1 species